GCAUUGGUGGUAUAGUGGUGAGCAUAGCUUCCUUCCAAGCAGUUGACCCGGGUUCGAUUCCAGGCCAAUGGCA
rnacentral:tRNA from 1 species